UCAUGAAAAUGCCUUCAUAUUUUUCCGAAAUACAUCUAGCUCCAAAUGCGUUUUAAUUCGAUUUUACAUCUUCAUCUUAUUUCUAACACAGAAACUCAUUAUCUUGGAUUUCAUCUUUCAUCCCAUCCCAAAAGCUCCUAACCUUUUUUUUCUUUUUAAAAUCACAUUUUAUUGAAUUUUCUCAAGCUUAAGGAUUUUUAGUUGUUAACGACUGUGUGUAUCUUUCACUCAGCCUAAGUUGGAUUUCUUAGUGAUUGGAGAAGGAGAUUUCGAGUGAAGUCUACUUUCUCAAAUAGACUUCUGGUGAAGUAUCCUCAUCAUCAUCAUCAUCAUCAUCUUUUUCUUCUUCUUCUUGGUGGGAUCAGCUGACCCCCCUCCUUGCUUAAUACCUCCACCCCUGUCUUUGACGUCGCAUUCGAAGCCAAAUCCUUAGCAGAGAUACUUUCGUUGUGCUUUUGCGGCAGAGAAAAGGUGAUAAUCACAGUUAAAAAUGGGUCGAUGAAGCUUUGUUGGAUGAGGUUGAAGGAUUGUCGUUUAGGAUAGGAGACUUGAACAGAGCAUGGUUUCUGGUCGUGUGGAAGAAGAGAGGAAUGCCCAAGAAGAGAAGAAGAAGUUUGAUGAGUUUGGAUUGAAGUUAGAGACUGAGAUUUCUGCAAGAAUGGAAGAUGUUGUGAAUGAAGCCAAAGCAUCUCACAAGAAGGCGAUGGUGCUGGUUGUUUUAGGAUGUUUGACGAUGGUUGUGUUGGCUAAGGUGUUUUAAUUUGUCUCAGUUUGAAUUGUCUCAGUUUGUUAUGUCUAAGAAAAUGGUGGUGUCAAGUGUCUGUUGUUGUUUAUGUUUGUUUGUUUUUGUUGUUGGAAAUUAGAUGUUUUAAGACUCAUAAGUAUGCUAUUUUAUAAGAUAUUUAUCCUUUUCAA